UUUUUCAUCUGUGUAUUUCAGUGCUCUUUUAGCUAGAGGCCUGGUGACUGGUCUAUCUGAAUUGCUCGUGGGAUUCUGAAUGUACUUGCAAGUGGGCAAAUAGAGGUCAUCGGAAUCAUCUCCUGAACCACUUGAUUCACAGAGGCUCACUUCAGACUCGUUGUUUUCUUCUCUAUUAGAGUCAUUGCUCACUUUUUGUCGGAAAGGAGUAAGAUGAACACCCUCUUCCAAAUUAAAAUUUAAACGUUCCUGGCUGAAUCAGCUUUGGUGAUAAGUUAACUUGGUCCUUGCUCCAUUGACAAGCAUUGUGUUGUACAUUUUCAGAGAAUUUUCUACUCUAGACAUUAAACAGAUUUAGGGACUCCAGGAAGGCCGGGGGGAGGUGGGGCUGGCGGAAGUGGACGCGGCGACCCUCCUGCCGCAGGCGCGUCCAGAACGAUACCUUGGCCACUACUUCUGCAACAGCUAUCUUCCUCCUCCUCACAUUUCAAGGCUCUUC
ensembl:lncRNA SGO1-AS1 SGO1 antisense RNA 1